GACGAACGCUGGCGGCGGGCUUAACACAUGCAAGUCGAAGGAGAAGGUAGAAGCUUGCUUUUACUGGAGACUGGCGGACGGGUGAGUAACGCGUAGAUAACCUGCCUAUAGCUGGGGGAUAACACUGCGAAAGUGGUGCUAAUACCGCAUAAUGCAGCGGGGCCGCAUGGCCAUAGUUGUUAAAGGUUUCGGCCGGCUAUAGAUGGGUCUGCGUGCUAUUAGUUAGUUGGUAGGGUAACGGCCUACCAAGGCGAUGAUAGCUAGGGGGUCUGAGAGGAUGAUCCCCCACACUGGGACUGAGACACGGCCCAGACUCCUACGGGAGGCAGCAGUGAGGAAUCUUGCGCAAUGGGCGAAAGCCUGACGCAGCCACGCCGCGUGCCGGAUGAAGGCCCUAUGGGUUGUAAACGGCUUUUACUAGGGAAGAACGAGAGGGUUUCGAUCUUCUGUGACGGUACCUAGUGAAUAAGCACCGGCUAACUCCG
rnacentral:rRNA from 1 species